AUUGAACGCUGGCGGCAGGCCUAACACAUGCAAGUCGAGCGAGCGGCGGACGGGCGAGUAAUGUCUGGGAAAUUGCUUGAUGGAGGGGGAUAACUACUGGAAACGGUAGCUAAUACCGCAUACCAUCAGAUGUGCCCAGAUGGGAUUAGUUGGUAGGUGGGGUAAUGGCUCACCUAGGCGACGAUCCCGAGCUGGUCUGAGAGGAUGACCAGCCAGAAUGGAACAGAGACACGGUCCAGACUCCUACGGGAGGCAGCAGUGGGGAAUAUUGCACAAUUGGGGCAAGCCUGAUGCAGCCAUGCCGCGUGUGUGAAGAAGGCCUUCGGGUUGUAAAGCACUUUCAGCGAGGAGGCGUUACCCGCAGAAGAAGCACCGGCUAACUCCGUGCCAGCAGCCGCGGUAAUUC
rnacentral:rRNA from 1 species